GGACACUUUCAAAAGCCAUUAGCCUUUUGCAGUCUCGUUUACAAAAGCGCACAAUCAUUUUGAAUAAAUUCAGGAGGAUAAAGUUUAUCAGCGAGUUUUGAGGCUCUAAACCUUCAUUUCAUCUUGCAAAGCACAAGACAGUGCCGUGAGCAGUAGUCAACAACAAGGGUUGUUAAGGACAUGGGUACUUGUUUUUUUUUUAAGUUAUUUUAUGUGUAUGAGUACACUGUAGCUGUCUUCAGACACACCAGAAGAGAGCAUCGGAUCUCAUUACAGAUGGUUAUAAGCCAUCAUGUGGUUGUUGGGACUUGAACUCAGGACCUCUGGAAGAGCAGUCAAUGCUCUUGACCACUGAGCCAGCUCACCAGCCGUGGACAUAGGUACUUUUAAUCAUGCCCUUCUUUUGGCAAGUUUUGUCAUGUCCCAGAGCAUUGGUUCUCAGCCCUUUGAGGUCACAUACCAGAUAUGCUGUCUAUCAUAUUUACAUUAAGAUUCAUAGCAAAUCAACAGUAGUGAAUUAGCAAUGACAUAAUGUUGUGGUUGAAGAUCUCUACGCCAUGAGGAACUGUAUCUAAGGGUCACAGUGCUAGGAAGGUGGAGAACCACUGUACCAGAGGCUUUCUGAAGCCACCACCCUCAGGAGACACAUAACUACCCAACCUGCUCAUCCCACAUCACAUCCAUGUACCUGAAGAAUCCCUUCCUUAAGUGAGAGGAGGCAUUACUUUCACCUGCCCUUGAAUCUUGGGUUAGCUUUUAAAUUUACUAUCUCUCCUGAUGACCGCAGAUGUAUUCAUGGGUUUAAGCACCAUCUAUGGACUGAGAAACCCUAAGUCAGUAUCCAUAGCACAGCUUUCCCAGAUAAUACUCCACAGCCUUGCUUCUAUGUAAGGGACACCUGGAACUUGGUAUUUUUCAAAACAGGCUCCCUUGUAUCCCUACUACCUGCCAAAUUUUUCCAGUCAUGGUAUUUGUAGACUUUAUGAAUGAUAUUCAGUCAUUUUACCCAAAAGAUUGGACUUUGUAUAUUUUUACAUUUUACUUGUACUCAAGAGAUCUGAG
rnacentral:lncRNA from 1 species